UAUAUUUUCUAACAGUCUUUUGGCGGUAUUUUCCUUAUUCACACAAAUCCUUAUUUUAUUUUUCUCAAAAUCAUCAUUUUUGACAAUUGUAUACACACAGGCGUUGACUUAUUUUAGCUAAGGAACCAUGUAGCAGCACAGGUGUUCAGAGGACCGAUUUCAGGUGUGCACAUAAACUGAAGAGUUUUCAAACAAGCCUUUCCUUGGGACAGCGGCGCUUUUCAGUUGAAGAUACACGAGAGGAGAGCCUGAAAAAAGACCAGCAAGGAGGAUAAAUUAAGGAGGAUGUAACAAAAUACACUGCAAGAACUGGAGUGAGGGUGAAGAGGACAACAGAAUAUCCAUCCUUUCUUCACCACCUCACAGAGUUUGAGUGAAACAACUUGUAUUAGGACUCACAGGAUUAUUUUAUAACAAGACUGAUUAUUUUAUACCAGAAGUAUGGUAUUUUUUUGAAGCUACUGUAUUAUUUCUUAUGACAAUUCAUUUUGAUGUGCAUUCAGAACUGUAAGUUGGUAAGUACAUUUACUGUAUUUACUGUAAGUAAAGGCUAAAGAGUAUAUCUCCUCUAGUUCUAAGUUCUAGUUCUAAGUUUUAACAACGUUCCCAAAGGUCCCAAUAAUGUUAAGCCAACAUAAAAGUGUCCAGUUUUUAAAUUGUUUAGGAAUGUUUCUUGAUUGUGCGAAUGUUAGAGGAAUGUUACAUUUUAUUUUCAGACAAUGUCAUGUUUAAAUGUACUCACAAUGUUUAAAACACAUGUUUAGUAUAUUUUAUGAAUGUUUAUAUGCAAUAUUUUAACAGAACAUUAAGAAAUAAUGUUUUACAACAGUUUGUAAAUAAUAGAAUGUAAUGUUUUUUUAUCAUUACAAGCAAAAACAAUCAUAACGUUAUUCGGAACUUUGGGAACUUUCAAGGAACGUUCUUAGACCUUUCUCUGUGGUUGAGCAUUGUGUUAGCAUCAUAAAACGCCAUGGGUUCGAACAAGGGAAUGCACAUGCUGAUAAAAAAUGUAUACUUUGCAUUGCACUGUAUGUUAUUUGCCUUUUUCUGUAAAUGUGAAGAUAAAUGUAAAGACAGACAGUCAUUGUUUCAUUUUAAACCAGUUCUAUUUUAAGAGAACUUAACUAGACUAAAUAAAAUGGUCACAAAAAAUUUAAUUUAGCUAUUAUGAUGCUGAUUUUGUGGUGUUAUGGGUUUUCUGGUUACAGUGGUAGUGGAUCAUGAUCACCUCUCUAGCUUCAAAAGUAGGAUGCAAAAUGUAUAACACCAAAUCAUUAUAGCAUAACUCCAUGUAACUUGACAUAAUUUAAAGUCGUCUAAAGGCAGACAUGAUUGGGUGUGUGAAGUCCUAUGCCAAAGACUCUCCAAAUACUGCAUCUACACAUUCUUCCUGAUGUGUAUAUUUUGUUGGUAUAUCCUGGUUGUUGCAGACCUGACAGUAAACUUGACUGUGAGCAUCCUAUCAGGUAUAGCUGUUUACUUGCAUUACUCAUUUAGAGAAAUGACGGGUCAAAAUUGAUUAUAUGGAUUAUAUUUUCAUCACCCCUUUUUGUAUGUCUUUGGGACACUUGAAAUAUAUAGCAUGUAUAAUGUGGAGCCAUUUUAUAAUGCGGUCACAGACUACUCCCAUUGUAACUGGAAAACCAAAGAAAAUCAUUGUUUAAAUUAUACAAUUAUAAUUUUUGGAUUAACUAAACCUGUAAUCAGUGUUAUACUUAUAUAUGUAUGUUUAUAAUUUGUGUUAUUUUAAAUGUAUUACUGCAAAUGAUUUGAAAUGUGUAUGUUUUAAAUGUAAUUUCACACAACUUCUUAAAGUAUUUGUAUUGUUUUAAAUAAAGGCUUCAAUAUUUGAAAUUGUCUCUUUGAAUUAAAUGUUAGCAGUAUCUGUAGGUUAAAAUGUAAAAAUUAAUUUUAUCUAAAAAUUAUAGCUAAUUUAAAUAUAAUAAAAAUGAAUGUAUAAAAAAAUAAAAAGAAUAGUAGUAUGUUAUACAGUAGUAUACUGCAAACCUGGGUUUUUUACGGUAGCACACUGUAUUACAUAUUUACAGUAGCAUUUAAAUACUGUAAAAUGGAAAUACAGUUUAGAACUGUAAAUCUUAUUUACAGUAGCCUACUGGCAACAGUGUUGCCAGUAGGUUACUGUAAAAAUCCUUGAA